rnacentral:rRNA from 1 species
UACGGAGGGUGCAAGCGUUAUCCGGAAUCACUGGGCGUAAAGGGUGCGUAGGCGGGUCUUUAAGUCAGGGGUGAAAUCCUGGAGCUCAACUCCAGAACUGCCUUUGAUACUGAAGAUCUUGAGUUCGGGAGAGGUGAGUGGAACUGCGAGUGUAGAGGUGAAAUUCGUAGAUAUUCGCAAGAACACCAGUGGCGAAGGCGGCUCACUGGCCCGAAACUGACGCUGAGGCACGAAAGCGUGGGGAGCAAACAGG